rnacentral:lncRNA from 9 species
GGCGAGGACCAGGUCAGGUUCAGCCCAGAGUGGCCUGCCCUCCGGGGCCCUCAGGCUUACCGUGAAGACCGGGUGCGAGAACACCUGGGAGGCGGCACAGACGCCGCUUCUGUCACCAGCCGGCCUCGCUUCUGGGCGCAAAGCAGAUGCCACCAAGAAUGAAACUCCCAGGCCGCCCCCUCCUUCCCCGUCUCCAGGUGGAGAAGCAAGGCGGGGGUUGCCGUGGGAUGUGAUCUAUGGUGAAGAAAGCACGAGUGAGCCGUUGCCACUGCUCUGCAGGGUAAGGCUUCGCUCCAAGAAGUUUAUAAUGAUCGGGGUUGGAUGGGGCAGCAACAUAC